rnacentral:misc_RNA from 1 species
UCAUUUGAGAGGAGCUNGGUUUUUNUAAAAGGCARAAGCGAACAUUGAACCUCCAAGUCCARAAAUCMUCAAAAAAAAGGGAUUUUGAAGAUUUCACGACACUCAAACGGGUGUGCCCCUCAGAAUGCCAAGGGGCGCAAGGKGCGUUCAAAGAUUCAR